UAGCGGAGGGGGCUAGCGUUAUUCGGAAUUAUUGGGCGUAAAGGGCGUGUAGGCGGCUUCGUAAGUCUUGUGUGAAAGCCCUCGGCUCAACCGAGGAAUUGCACGAGAAACUGCGUGGCUCGAGUCCGGGAGAGGAUAGUGGAAUUCCCAGUGUAGCGGUGAAAUGCGUAGAUAUUGGGAGGAACACCGGUGGCGAAGGCGGCUAUCUGGACCGGUACUGACGCUGAUACGCGAAAGCCAGGGGAGCAAACGGG
rnacentral:rRNA from 1 species